rfam:Planktothrix tepida PCC 9214 isolate BBR_PRJEB10993 genome assembly, scaffold: BBR_B_PL9214_scaffold4
GUCAGCACCCCGCUCUAAAGAGACGGGGCUUCAUGCCUCCUCUUUGGAUAGCUGACCAGCUAUAGUCUUAAUUGACUACGUUAUCGGCAAGUGUUCAAGAACCCACCAAUAGAUGCGUAGCUAGUCUGUUGCUCUGGAACUUAAAAGUUAAACAGUUUUACGAGGGGUAAAAUAGUGCUUUUGAGAUAGUUACCGACCGAUAACAUUGGCGAAGCUAACAUUAC